rnacentral:tRNA from 1 species
GCGCUCGUGGCGGAAUUGGUAGACGCACUAGCUUGAGGUGCUAGCGGGUAACACCGUGGAGGUUCGAGUCCUCUCGAGCGCACCA